rnacentral:rRNA from 1 species
GACGAACGCUGGCGGCGUGCCUAAUACAUGCAAGUCGAGCGAAGUUUUUCUGGUGCUUGCACCGGAAAAACUUAGCGGCGAACGGGUGAGUAACACGUAAAGAACCUGCCUCAUAGACUGGGACAACUAUUGGAAACGAUAGCUAAUACCGGAUAAUAGCAUUAACUGCAUGGUUGAUGUUUAAAAGUUGGUUUUGCUAACACUAUGAGAUGGCUUUGCGGUGCAUUAGCUAGUUGGUGGGGUAAAGGCCUACCAAGGCGACGAUGCAUAGCCGACCUGAGAGGGUGAUCGGCCACACUGGGACUGAGACACGGCCCAGACUCCUACGGGAGGCAGCAGUAGGGAAUCUUCCGCAAUGGGCGAAAGCCUGACGGAGCAACGCCGCGUGAGUGAAGAAGGAUUUCGGUUCGUAAAGCUCUGUUGUUGGGGAAGAAUGAUUGUGUAGUAACGAUACACAGUAGAGACGGUACCUAACCAGAAAGCCGCGGCUAACUACGUG